rnacentral:rRNA from 1 species
AAUCAACGCUGGCGGCGUGCCUAACACAUGCAAGUCGAACGCGAAAGCCCCGCAAGGGGCAAGUAGAGUGGCAAACGGGUGAGUAACACGUGGGUGACCUGCCUUCGAGCGGGGGAUAACGUCCCGAAAGGGACGCUAAUACCGCAUAACAUCCUGCCUUUGAAGAGGUGGAGAUCAAAGCUGGGGAUCGCAAGACCCGGCACUUGAAGAGGGGCCCGCGUCUGAUUAGCUAGUUGGUGGGGAACGGCCUACCAAGGCAACGAUCAGUAUCCGGCCUGAGAGGGCGGACGGACACACUGGGACUGAGACACGGCCCAGACUCCUACGGGAGGCAGCAGUGGGGAAUUGUUCGCAAUGGGCGCAAGCCUGACGACGCAACGCCGCGUGGAGGAUGAAGAUUUUCGGAUCGUAAACUCCUGUCGAAUGGGACGAACAGAUUGCGGGUUAACAGCCCGUAGUCCUGACGGUACCGUUAAAGGAAACCCCGGCUAACUCCGUGCCAGCCGCCGCAGUAAG